AGGAAAACCCUUGUUGCCACAAAAUCAAUCAAAUUGAAAGGGAAUUGAAGCUUGAUUGUAUGCAUGGAUUAAGAUUUAUGACCAACUAAGUGUUCUUAUCACCAAUAUAGGAAUCAUGUCGAAAUGGAAUCAAACAUGAAAGGCUAAUGGGUCAAGAGGAGGAAAGGAAGCGGACACGAACACGGAUGCAUAAGGUACUACACGGAUUUCUUCUACCACUAAUGAAGCGAAUCGGACGUAGGUGAAGCCAAGAGCAAGGAUUGUACGGAAGAUCGGUCACAUAGUUAGAUUAUGUAACGCUUUGAAGUCUUGAUUUAAGUAUGAAUGUUGGGAAUUAUUGUUUUUACAAGACGUUUGACAUUUUGUAAU